GUGUCAGCAGCCGCGGUAAUACGUAGGGGGCGAGCGUUGUCCGGAAUUAUUGGGCGUAAAGAGCUCGUAGGCGGUUCGGCAAGUCACGUGUGAAAUCUCCACGCUCAACGUGGAGGCGUCACGUGAGACUGCUGUGACUCGAGUCCGGUAGGGGAGCGUGGAAUUCCCGGUGUAGCGGUGAAAUGCGCAGAGAUCGGGAGGAACACCCGUAGCGAAGGCGGCGCUCUGGGCCGGUACUGACGCUGAGGAGCGAAAGCGUGGGGAGCAAACAGGAUUAGAUACCCUGGUAGUCCACGCCGUAAACGUUGGGCACUAGGUGUGGGGCUCUAUCGACGGGCUCCGUGCCGUAGCUAACGCAUUAAGUGCCCCGCCUGGGGAGUACGGCCGCAAGGCUAAA
rnacentral:rRNA from 1 species